AUUCCGGUUGAUCCUGCCGGAGGCCAUUGCUAUUGGGAUCCGAUUUAGCCAUGCUAGUCGCACGAGUUCAGACUCGUGGCGAAUAGCUCAGUAACACGUGGCCAAACUACCCUUCGGAACACAAUACCCUCGGGAAACUGAGGCUAAUAGUGUAUACCACAUCACCACUGGAAUGAGUGAUGUGCCAAACGCUCCGGCGCCGAAGGAUGUGGCUGCGGCCGAUUAGGUAGACGGUGGGGUAACGGCCCACCGUGCCAAUAAUCGGUAUGGGUCAUGAGAGCGAGAACCCAGAGACGGAAUCUGAGACAAGAUUCCGGGCCCUACGGGGCGCAGCAGGCGCGAAGCCUUUACACUGCACGACAGUGCGAUAGGGGGAUCCCAAGUGCACAGGCAUAGCGCCUGUGCUUUUCGGUACCGUAAGGUGGUACCAGAAUAAGGGCUGGGCAGGACCGGUGCCAGCCGCCGCGGUAAUACCGGCAGCCCAAGUGAUGGCCGAUCUUAUUGGGCCUAAAGCGUCCGUAGCUACUUUCC
rnacentral:rRNA from 1 species